rnacentral:lncRNA from 1 species
UUUUUUUUUUAAGUAAAGGAAAUUGAAUUGCUAAAACAAUGGCCAAAAGACACGUUACAUCAUAUGUUGGGCUCUACGCAAUCUGUUGAUAGAGACCUACAAACACCAUGACCGGUACCCUAAUUGAUAACUAAUUAAUAAUUAAGCUCAAGACAAGCCUCGAGCAUAGGAGGUACACCAUGUUGGUGUUGGUGGUGUAGAAGCAUGUAACAAUACAGGCAUCAAUCAACAAGUGAAGAAUCCCGUUAGAAACCCAAUUUACAGAGAAAAGACUAAUCUCAUGUUGCAUGUGGCUAAACCAAAAGAGUCUUCAAGCCGGCUGGUCAUAAACUUGUAGGAGUUGAGACUUGAACUUUGGAUAUGAAGUUUCAUUCUAUGCAACUCGACCAACUUAACCAUACCAUGUGGUUGGAAAAUUAGGGUUUUGAAUUACAACAUAAGUAUUCUAUACAUAAGAGAUAUUGUAUAUCUUUUCAUUUUUCUUGGUUGCUUGCAUAACAUAGCCACUAUUAUAUACCUGCAUUGUUGUGCAACGACCAUAAUGAUAUAUGCAUACAAACAAGCUGGCUAGGCUAGCUUUGAGGUAUAUAUUGCAUUUCGAAUUCACUUUUUAAAAUCAUGAUCUUUUGAAUCGGGUAUUUUCAUGGGGUCACUAGAAGUCGAUCGAGAGCCAUAUAAUACAUCUGCUAUAGUAAUAUUAAUUCUGCAUGACCUCAUGAACAGUUGGAUCAGUACUGCAAAUAAUACCUAAAAUGAUCUGGAAAAAUUACAUUAUCAUCAUGAGUGAGAGUACAUGUAUUAUUUACUUAAUUAUUAGAAUAUGUAAUAUAUAUUUAUAAACAUAUAUAUAGGAAAAAAAAAAUUAUGUACAUAAGGGAUUGGGGGACCAUAAACAACCCAUACCUUUAAAUCCCAAUAAAAUAAAAAGAGAUCUUGAUCACAUGGACACAUGUGAAGAUGAUGGAGAUAUGGUUUUCAAAUAUUCAUUGUUCUAGCCUUCAUACCAUUUUCUGUUUUUCUCUUAACUUAUUAUGAAAAAACAGUUUAAUUUCCAAUCAAUUUAUCAUUUUUUCGACCGUUAAAAUUCGACCAGUCUAUAAUAUAUAUACGAUUAAUUAUGUAAAAUUAAGAAUAUGUUAGAAACUUUUUUUCUUUCUUCAUAAUAGAUACUUUUUUUUGUUUGGAAAUGAUACAUUUUACUUCUUGAUCAAAGCUAUAGUGCUUGUAUAAUUUUGUUUACCCUAGCCUUGUGACAUAUUACCCCACUGCGCACUCACUCACUGGGAAAGUGAGGCAUUUUAUGGGUAAAACCCUACUUACUACCGACCCAGGCCACCCAUUUUUCCACACUCUCCUCCUUUCUCUCUGUCUAUAAAGCUGGCCUUCGUUGGUAGACAGAUUAUAUAUUGCAGCUUAGAGUGGUCCUUGUGAGUGAGACUUUGUAUGCCUGUAUGGGUAUGGACAUUCCCAACUCUCUCAUUCUCUCAUUCUAUCUCUCUUUCUCUCAACACAGAAAUUGAGCUUACCUACUACUCAGUAGUACUAUAUAUCGAUCUUGCUCCUGGUGAGCUUCAGAUCGAAAGAGAGAUGUGAGAUCUGAAGCUAGAAGAAAACUGUGUGUAAUUCUCAAGUCCUGGUCAUGCUUUUCCACAGCUUUCUUGAACUUCAAUUCUCUGCUAACAAUCUGUAAUCUCUUGCAAGAGUAUUAGCACAAUGUUUGGGAGCUCAAGAAAGCUGUGGGACAACAUGACAACCCAGGAUUUUUCCACCCCUUUCUUCAUUAUUUGCUCACAAUGUGGCUGCAAAUGAAGUAUGGAUCUAAAUACUUUCCAAUCUGCAGGUAAUUCUCCAUCUUUUCUUUGAUAUAAUUCAGACCCGAUUCGUCAAAAUCUUUUCUUUUAUUUUCUAAUCUAAUUCAAGGGAUGUUUUUCUCACAAUUCUCUCAUAAUUUGAGCAGAUUUACAUCUUUUGGCUGUAAUUACCUGUAUUAAUGUGGCCCCUCAUGACAAAAGCUUGUCUCUGCAUUUUCUUUAAGUAAUACUAUGUCCUGGUGCUGCUGAAUUACAAAUGUGGGUUAGUUUCCAUAAUUGUCUGCAAAUUUUUGACAGAACUACUCUUUUUAAACCCAUGAGUAGUACAGAAUAUAGAAGAAUUUCCUAAAACUUUAUUAGAUAUACUGGCACACGUUUGAGCCAUGCAGAAUGGUAAAUUUUAUAAAUGCUGUUGUUUUUUUUUUUCUUGUUGUCUGGUACAUUUAGGUGAAAUUUCCAUUUCCAGUUGAAAAUAUAUUCUGACUUCCAAUUCAAUGAAUGAGGCGAAAAAUGAGUUUUGGUUCAGAGAAGAUUCCCCUUCCUAUCUUUCCUUUAUAUUAUCAAUGAUGACACACUUGGAUUCCUGCUGCUAGGCUUUUAAUUUUGCUUCCUUCCACAUCUUCUCCUACAUUUCUGUGAAAAAGGUUAAACUUUGUCCUUAUCUGACAGUUUUUUUUUAACCAUACUCAUCACCAUUUGUUUUUUUACUCUCUCUCUCUCUNNNNNNNNNNNNNNNNNNNNUUACUUUUCUUCUCUCUCUCUCUCUCUCUCUCUCUCUCUCUCUCUCUCACUAUUGUCACUCACUUUUAUGAUUCUGUGAUUGUAUUUGCUAUGAUGUACUUGUACAGCUGAAUCUACUCAAUCAUGCUUCCCCUGAUCCAAGACUCAAAAAUUUCAAAAUCAUGCAAAAACAGUAAAAAGUUUUAUCCUCUUAAUUUUCUGUCAGUCACUAAAUUAUUACAUCAAAGUUACAAAAAUCCAGAGACAAGUUUCUGCAGAGAAUUAAGAAACAGAUAGAUCACCAAAUCUCUGAAUUAAGAAACAAGUUGGUAAGGGUUGUUGAGGCUUCAAUAAUAGCUCCUUUCUUCAAUUUAGUAAGAUUAAUGGACUACUCCUUUUACAGAUCAUCUCUCUCUCUCUGUGUAAAGUAGACAGACAAAUUUUCAGUCUGAUUUAGUAACCAGGUCCAUAGUUCAGCAAAUUUAUGCAUACAACUGAGUUCAUCAGCAGUUAGGUAGUAUGUAUUAUACUAUAUGUCAGCAAUUUCCUUGCCCCAGUCAUAUAUCUUCUUCAAUUGUAAAUUUAUUAGCAUUGAAACUUGGGUAAUAAUUCAUUUUCUGUAUCUGUCUCUUCAUCUAUCACUGCAACUUUUGUUUUACCAACAACCCAGAAUCACUGCAAUUAACUUAAGGCAUAUACAUACACUCCUGAAUCGAACUAUAAUUGUCGAAACAUGUAAUAAUCACGCAUAAGAGAAAGGAAGAAGAUGGCAUAAAGCUGAGUGAUGCGAUAAUUGAAACGAAUCUUAAAUUCUGGUGUUUGAAUUUUAGGUCCACCAGAAUCAGAAAAAAGCCAGACAAAGGAGGCCUGCAUAGUUGUUCCUUCUGUGCUAGCUUCACCUUCAGUGCUUUCACAUAAUAUUUAAAAGCUGAGCUUAGCUCUAUGCAGACCUAGAGCUGUAAAUGAAAUUAUGAAUAAUAAUUGUUCUUACUGAGCGUACGUUAUAAAAUGAUCGAUCUUUACUGACCUAGUUGUCAGCAACUGUAAGACUCUUAAGCUCUAAACAGAGCGCUGAAUCAUGCAGCAGCUAGCGGCAGCCAUCAAUACACAGUGGAGUGAGAGCAACUGAGAAUUGGGAAGAGAUUUAGUACAAAUCUCGAAGUAAAUAAAUAGUUAUCAGGAAUUCCCAUCGAGAUUAAAUUCCUGACCUGAAUGCCUUCGAGUCAAAAGUAUCAGAUUGAAUCCAGCAGAUCUCAAGCUUAACUUUUCUUUUGUUUAUCCUGAAAAUGAGAGAAGUGGUUCAGACUUCACAAGUGACGACCCAACAGUUUUUACAGAUCGUAAAGCAAGCAAUUUGGUAAUCCCGUGCCUAGCUAGCUUUUCCCAACAGUUCCAAGACUUAGCCAAGAAAAAGAAAACCCUAGUUUUUCUGUAUUAUUAAGAAUUAAUUAAAAAGAAAGUCAAAUGUUAUUUAGAAACUUGUGCCUCUAAUUCAACACCUAUUAUUUUGGCAACUCUUUUCGGUGUAUCUGGUAAUCUGGAUAUGGAAUUUAUGUCAUGCUAGCUAAUAGUAUAUACAGAAAAACAAGUAAGCAGGCCGGGCUAGACAUUCAUGUUCAGUGAGAUUAAUAACAACCUCUUAGGUUUUUCUAAUUGGGUAGAAGCCCUCUCUUGGUCAUCAUCAUGUUUAAACGAAUCCAGUUAUAACCAUGAACUUCUUGGACACCAUAUGAACACUACUCGAUCUGCUACAACUAUAGAAUACGGCAUGGUAUGUAUAUAGGCACGUAUAUAUAAACAAACGCACUCGAUCACAUGAAAUCGCUUUAUACGGUACUUUUCGUUCGAUUAAUAACUUAAAAAAGAGAACUUGGGAUUGUUUCUGUAAACCAUUUCAUCACUGUUUGAGAAAUCCAGAACCUUGUGAUAGCUAAUACAUUCAGAACGCCACUAUUUCAAAUCAUCGAGUCGUGUAGACAACCAUUAUCAUGAUCAAACGAAGUUGAAAAGACAGGCAAAGUGAAAGUGUGCAAUAUAACGAUCGAUAAAUGAAACCUUUCUUGACCAAUAUAGUUACUACAUUAAGGUAUCGUGAUGAUGAUGAUUCGAAUGAUCUUGACAUAUUAAAGCUAAAGGCCACUAAAAGCAGUAGAUAUCACUAACAACAUAAUCAACAAUGAAAACACAAAAGGAAAACCAAGAGGAUCUCAUCACACUAGCUCCCAUCAAAUCUAAAACGGUUUUUUUACAGCAAAUGCUAGAUUAGUGGAAGACAUUAAGACAAUGCAUUACAUAAAAAGUAGUUAAGGUGGAGCAUCAUGAUCAUAUGACCUAUAUGAUAUAAGCAAGUGCAACGUGACCAACGUCUUUAAUUUUAAGUGACAAAAAAGGGUUUUGGCCCUAUUCUUCGGAUGCAUUCAAAUCCCUGUGAGACCACACAUUGUAAAUCCAGCCGAUCAUUUAAGUUCUUGAUAUAUAUGCCAAGCUAUAUAUAUUCUUGGCCUAUCCAGCUUACUUCCUCAGGACCAUGCCAGAUUCAAUUCAUCAUUACACACACAUGGUAAAAUGCUUGGUUUGUCCCUAUUACGCAGAAAGAUACUGGACGUAAACAAGCCUGAAAGGCAUAUGUUCUAAUUCGAAUGAAGAACAUGGAUCAACACCCUUUUUUCGAAUCGAAUUUCCUUACCGUAGUUGUGAAGACAUAACUCUAAAUUCAAGCUAGCACAACAACAUCUCCACCUAACUGUAAAUUCAAUGCUCCUUGUAUAGAUUGUUCUACUAACAAGGAAAGGGCAAUGAUCAAAUCCGUGGUCCAUGCAACAUUCAAUAGGAACCAGAAAUUUUACCAUCUAGUUAGUUCUUCUUAGCCGGCCUGUAGCCCUUGGUACUUGGCUCGACCGGAACCAAAUGAAAUUUAAAACGAAAUGCGUAGAUUUAUCAUGUAGAACAAAACUUGAAAACAGACGAGAUAUACAUACAAAUUCAUGGGUUCGCAAUGAGGAUAGAUCGAUGGUGACACCAAUGGAAUCUGAUGAACUAUCUGAACAAUGUGUCACUUUAUCAACCGACACCAGCGCAUAAGGUAGCUAGAUCACAGAUCGAUGAUUGCAACGGCUUAGCUAGCUAGGCAUGUAUAAAAUGAUGCACUAAUUAACAAAUCCAAGUUAGACUGAUCUUGGUUCAUUAUCCUUUAAUCACUAAUAAUUAAGGGGAAGAUCACAUGUGCAAACUGUAAAGCAGGCCUAAACAGUUCAAAACAAGACCUAAACAACUUUCAGGGGAGAAGAAUCUAAUCUAUCAUGUACAGCAUACUAUAUAAAUAAAAUCAAACAUACAUUGCUAAGUACUGUUCAUCAAUCUUCAAGUACAACUGGAUCAGAGAGCACUACUUAUCCAGAAUGUUAUCUCGGGCCACUGCAUCUACAUGCAUUAUCAUCACAGAGAGAAAAUCAGACACAAUACAUAAAAGUGAAUGCCAUAGACAAUUGACAAUUCUAAUGUUCGACUUUUUGUCAAAAAUUCAAGAUGUAACCAACACGAAUAUCAACAGAAACAAUCAGAUCUGUGUAGCGAGCGCGCCUAAAAUGAAUCUACGAAAUAACAGAUGAAGGAUUAGGGUUUAAAGAUUACCCAAAACAGUCACCAUUCCCAGAAAAUCACCACCUUCAAGAACAUCUAGAAGUUUUCUUCACUAUAAAUCAACAAUUAUAUGAUGAAAAAAUCGUGUUGUGUUACAAAAAAGGUUGAAAGAACUGAACAAAGGAGAGACCAGAGCUGUACCAAAACAUAUAAAUGAACUGAAUCGUCUGAGUUUGUUUUCUUGAACCUGUCUGUAUCUUCCCACAGCUUUAUUGAACCACAUGCCAAAUAUAGAGCAACCUCUGCCUCAAAUGCAAAGAUCAGAUCUCUUAUGCUGGAUGCAGUUCAAGAAAGCUGUGGAAGAAUACAAAGAGGAUCACCAUCUAGAGGAAUAAGAUGCUUUGAAACCUUCCACCAAUCAGAACAAUUUGUAAUCUGAUCAGAAACAGAAAAGGGCACUCAAAAUAUGUCAAAGGGAAGAAGAAGAUCGACCAGACCUUUACCAAACCCAAAACAGAAGAGACGGGUUCAGAGGGGUUUGGCCGUUUGGGGUUAGGUUGGGCGCAGAGGAGAGGGAGAGGCCAGAGGAGGGUGAGAGAUGUAGGUUUUGCAGAGGAAGAAGGGUGGUAUUUAUAGUAGAAAUUAGAUGGUUUCGCAUUUUUUGUGUUUUUUUUUAUUUUUUUAUUUUUUUAUUUUACCCCAUCAAUCCCAAGAAGAAUAUUGGGCCUCUGAGACUCACAGUCACAGAUUACUGUACUGAACAAAACCCCACCUUUUUUCCCCAUUCCAUUCAAACCCUAAUAAAAAAGUGCUGACUACCUUUGAUCACAUUAUACCACCUCAAAAGGUAAAAUCCAAUUUAAUUAAUUUAAUUAUACUAGUAAUUACCAGCUAUGCGAAACCGAUCGUAUUAAAUUAUUAGCGGCUAUGAUGCAACUUGCUUGCCGGAUCAGACGGUGGCGGUUACCCUAGUGGGGGACGACGGUGGGACCCGUCUUAGAUCUGUCUCUUUAUAAUAGGUGAAAGGAGUUGCUUCACGCGCUGUAGGGAAUGUUGGUUUGCAGACGCCUGCUAAUGACGUGCGUAAGAUGACAUCGGAGGACAACUAAUUACACGCUAAAUAGGAGUCUUUUGGUUAAGUCAGGUUUGUUUACUAUAAAAUUGACAUCUACAACUUCAAGGCUACAACCUUAUCACGACGGCUCCAAUGUGGUCCUUUAUGUCCCUCGAAUUAUUCUAGUUUUUUUGAUGAAAUAAAAAAUAAUUACAAACUAAAAACACGAAAAAAAAAGAAGCAUUUUGUCACAAAGGGCACAGAAUGCAACCAACUGCCCGCUUCUACAUAAUGUUCGUAAUUCGCCAAAAAAUCUGCAACAAAAUUUACCUCCAUCCAAACGUGCUUAAAAGUAACAGAUGCGAACUAUUACGCCAUAAUACUAAUGUGAUGAAUCAAAGCAACAACCCUCCAAGGAUCGGAGUACUAGAUUAACUAGUAAUAAUAUCAAUAAGAGUCUUGGAAUCUCUUUCAACUUGGAUGUAAGAAAAUGUUAUGAAGUAAAAUUGCUUGUAACCUAGCUCGGAGUGCAAAAGCUUCUAAAACAAGUACAUCAGUCUUGCCAAAAGAUUUUGAGGAAGCCACAAUCGGGUCUCCGUGAGUAGAACAAAUAACAAAGCCAGCUGAUGCUUGUGAAUUCUGGUGAACAGAUCCAUCAAAGUUUAAUUUGACAAAAUAAAUAUUAUAGUUUAGGUUUGUAUGUUCAAAACAUUAAUUGUCAUAGUAUAAUAAAGAUUUAUUUAAAUAGCAAUACUCAAAAUUAUUAUAAUUUAGGUUUGUUCAAAACAUUCAUCUUUUAUAUGAUAUUAGUAGCUAGCCAUAUAGUACUAAAUAAUUUAUGACACACCAUGAGGGGUUAUGAGGUCGAUCAUUUGACAAAUGAAAUAAAUUUUAAUUAUCGAAUAAUAGUGUACCUUAUAAAUUUCUUGUUGAGGAUAUCAACUAAUUAAGUAUUCAAUUUAUGAGCUUGGAUCAGCAAGCUAUUUAGUGCGACCUAGCUUUCUACAAACUUCUUAUUUAAAAAAAAAAAUCACUUUACUGAUCGAUUUUAAAUAGAUCGUAAAAGCCUAUAUAGCUAGCAAUAAUGUUUCAAUUUGUAUUAUACAAUCCCAAUUUUUAAACACAUCUUAGAACUUUGCCAGCUCUAGCCCAUGUCCAUGUAGGUUGUCAGUCACUGAUUAACUUCACAUCUAGCAGAUCCAAAGCGCGGGAUCAAGCCUCUGCGCGUGAAGCACGCGUUUCCACUGCAGCUGGGGCUGAUCCCUGCGAAACCAAAACCAGAUAAUUAACCAAAUAAUUAAGGGAUUACAGUGCAAAUAAUAUAAAUUAAAAAGAUAAAUUAGGGGUUAAGGAGCGAAGGAUUACGGGGUGCUCACAUGGCGGCAUGUGGGUGGAGGGCCCCACGUGAACCGUGGGAAGUUGUGACAGUACACUCCCGUAUUUUCCGGGACGGAGGUCGCCUUGUCGGGCUGGUUUUGCGGACACGAUUUGCAUAAUCCCCAGGCCCAAAUGAGGCUCUUCCUCAUUGGUCCAAAUAGGCGCGCACGUUUAGCCCUGUGCACACCCACACCUAUACGGCGUCGUUUUGUAUGUGAUUAGUGGGUCUUGCUUAAUCAAAAUCAACCCACAGCUGGCACUCACUUGUGCAUUUUAAUUGAGCCCAAAACUUUAAUCAUCAUUUUUCGCACUAAUAUUUUGUAUGCUUUUAAUUAUCGUUCAUCAUUUGUCCACUAUUUGUCUUUUCGUUUGAUUUGAUUUUUAACCUACCCCAACUACGUACAUGACCUGCCCUUUGAUUCCUUGCACUAGUGGAUCGAUCCGGCCACUUCAGUUUUGUUACAAUGUUGUUUUGUGAUGGAGAGUUUUGUAACAAUGUUAUUCACCACAAUGCAUGGAUCGAUUUUUCUAGCAACUUGGAGUGCGGUUUGGUUUAUCAAGGUGUGGCCGAUGUACAAUUAAAAGUGGUGCUUUCGACAUAACAUACACAAGCAUGUGGAAGAGAAGUUGAUGAAAAUGAAGUGUCAUAGUAGGACAUAAUGAAAAGGAAGUGACAGAUCGAUAAAAGAGUUGUCUCAUCGAUCUAUACUUCAUACGUGCCGAAGAGGUUAUGUAAAAUUUAUAGGUUGUCAUCUCUAAUUAAUGGUUUGUACUUAAACUUGUAUUAUUCAUAUGCAAACAUUGAGUUUUCACUUGUAUAGCGUUCAUUUACCGUAAAUCUUUCCAUUGUUCCGCAUAAUACUAUGACAAAUCAAGCAGUAAGUUGUGAUUCUACUCGGAAAUGGCAAAGUGAAGACGAACAUAUGAAAAGUUAAAAAUCUCAUGAGGUAAAAUAUUGGUGGAGAGAAGGUAAGUUAACUUGGUGUUUCAGAGUGUGGAGCAGAGUGUGAGUCAGGGCUUAGUGUUGUGCGCACGUGUAGUAGGGUUAGGGACAAUUGCAUGGAAAUGCAUGCAUUCGUUUGUCAGUAUAUCACUGACACCAUCUACCAACACGCACGAUGCCCCGCCCUUCCUUAACACGAUUCAACCCCCUUUUGUCCAUUUGAUCCGAUCGAUCGAUUUAACCCACGACUUUGUCUUCUUUUCCAUUCCCCCAAACCCCCAUUUCCUUCCAGCAUCGUUUUCCAUUCUGGCUCUGUCCUCCUCCCCACCUCUUUUUUCCAGGGCCAGCUUUUCUCAUUUCCAUCCAUCUCUUAUAUAUAAUUCCUAACUAAUAAUGCAUGCCUUUAAUUUCCAACUUGAAUCUGUUUCUUUACCUAUAUAUAUAUACGUAGUUGAACAUUAUGAGAGACUUGGUGGAUUUACAGUACCUGAGUAGCUGUGUUCAUAUCAAACUGCUGCAGCUUAAUUGUAAUAUAUAUAAAUAUAUAAUGCAUAACAUGAGCUAGCAAAGUUUCAACUAUAUAUAUGUGCAGUGACGGAUCCAGGAUCUGAAGAUGGGGUGGGCAACGUAUUAAGCCGUUUCCGUGUUUUUCUAUGUUGGGCAAAGACCAAAUUUUUUUUAGGGUAUAACUAUGCAAAAAUGUAGGACUGGAAGAGCUAAUUAAAUAAGUAUCACUGAAACAAACAUAGCAAAUUACAUCAAACUUGUGCUGGUGUGCAAAUAAAUGGUUAGAAAAUGAGAGCCACACACUUCAAAACUUCAGUCCUCGGAAGUUCGGGUGGGCUUAACGAAGUCAAACAUACAUAUUUGCAAGAAAAAAAGAGCUUAUACUUUGGGUUUUUUUUAUUUUUUUUAUUCAUCACAAAUUCUCAGGGGGCUUGAGCCCAACCAAGCACGCACUUGGCUAUGUGGGAUUUAGUUUUGUUUUUUUUUUUUUUUUUUUCUGUUGUUUUUCACUUUUACAGGAGGAUAUGUGUUUGAUUCUGAAUACCCUACUAGAUUCUGCAGAGAGUUGCAGAGGCAAAUAAACCAUAUAUAAGAGUUAGAGCUAUCAUAUAUCAUCUAGCUGUAUAUAUAUGAAUUAUGGGAUAUUGUCCAUAUAUUUAUGUUCAAAUUAAUUGGUAGAUUUAGUUCCUGCUACACACACCCACACGCAGACACAAAUUUAUAUGGUACAAUUAAUGGAAUGGAUCAAACAAAUUAAGGAAAUGAACGGGGGACAUGAUUUAAAAGUUUAAGAAAAGCUCGAGCAAAGGAGAGGGUAUUGUGUAUUGAACCAUACGAAGAUGACAAAGACCUAAAGGUGAAUAUAUAAUCCAUACAAGGUCAAGUGGCCAAGGAUAUUUUUUACCUAUAUAUUAUUAAUUUACUAUUUAUUUAUAUAUUUUGCUAAUGGCCAGAUUAAGUAGGGUUUAGUAGACUUAUAAGUGGAUCACGAACUCUAUCAGAUCGAUCUGGUUGUUGUUCCUCUGGGAGUUAUGCUGGUCCUUUAUCAAACACAAGAGGGAGGUCGCCUAGGUAUCAGGCUACCCCUUAACUAUCUAGAGGUUAAUUAAUUUACCCUACAAAGUAGUUUAACCCCAGUUAACCAUGCAUUGACUUCUAACUUAAUAUAUAGAAGUUGUAUUUCAUUGAUUCAACUAUGUGUACAAGGAUGAGUAUUUAUAAUACAGUAUUACUUGGUAACCAAGCUAAGCUAAGAGGUAGAAAUCUAUACAAAGAUUACAUGUUAGAUUACCACACCAAUAUAGAAGACUAUGACUUAAGGCGUGUAGAGGAAGACUCGCUAACACCCCCCCUCAAACUGGGCGGUCUAGGACGCACAAGUUUGCGACACAAAAGAAGAUGCCGAGGCUUAUGAAGAGGUUUGGUGAGAAGAUCAGCAGGCUGAUCAACAGAGGAGAAAAAACCAACCCGAUGACUGCCAAGAGCAACUUUCUCCCGAACAAAAUGAUAAUCCAACUCAAUGUGUUUAGUGCGGGCAUGAAAAACCGGAUUGGAGGCCAUAUAGGUAGCACUAAGAUUGUCACAAUAAAGCAUAAUGGGAAAGCGAAUGCGGGCACCAAGCUCAUAGAGUAAGAAACCUAACCAAGUAGAUUCAGCACAAGCAUGAGCAAGAGAACGAUACUCAAAUUCAGCACUUGAGCGAGCAAUAGUGGGCUGCUUCUUAGAACACCACGAGAUGAGAUUAGAACCAAGAUAAAUAAGAUACCCAGAAGUGGAGCGCCGCGAAUCAGGACAUCCAGCCCAGUCGGCAUCAGAAUAAGCAGUGAGAAGAACUGGUUGAUGCUGAGGGCGAAAAGUAAGACCAUGAUCAAGUGUACCUUUGACGUACCGAAGAAUACGCUUGGCCGCAACAAGAUGAGGGGUCCGAGGCUGACUCAUAAACUGGGAGAUAGAGUUGACAGCGUAGGAGAUGUCCGGACGAGUGAUAGUGAGAUACUGAAGAGAGCCAACAAGUUCUCUAAAAACCGUGGGGUUGGGAAGCAGAUCACCAUCAGUAGUAGUGAGAGAAACUUUGGCAGACAUAGGAGUGCUCAUAGGUUGACUAAGAAGAAGGUCAUGUUUCUGAAGAAGGUCAUGAGCAUAUUUAAGCUGAUCAAUAUGAAUGCCAGUGGAGUGAGUGGUUACCUGUAACCCAAGAAAAUAAUGAAGAGGACCCAAGUCUUUGAUGUCAAAUCCACGACCAAGAGAAUCAAUAAAGCUCUGAAGAACACGAUCAUCAUUGCCAGUAACAAUAAUAUCAUCAACAUAGAGGAGUAAGAAGAUGAUGCGACUCCCAUGAUGGAACAAAAAGAGAGACGAAUCAGCACGACUGUGACGAAACCCAGCGGACAGAAGAAACGCACUAAUGCGAGAAAACCAUGCACGAGGCGCUUGUUUGAGACCAUACAAAGCCUUAUGAAGUUUACAAACAUAUGAUGGACGAUCAGAGUCAACAAAACCAGGUGGCUGAGUCAUAUAAACAUCUUCGUGAAGGAACCCAUGAAGAAAAGCAUUUUUGACAUCAAGCUGACGCAAAGACCAACCCCGAGAGACAGCAAGAGCAAGAACAGUGCGAAUGGUCGCAGGUUUAAUAACAGGGCUGAAUGUUUCCUCAUAGUCGAUGCCAUGUCGUUGAUGAAAACCUUUGGUAACAAGACGGGUUUUGUGACGUUCAACAGUACCAUCCGAAUGUCGUUUUAUGCAAAAAACCCAUUUACAGCCAACAACAUUUUGAUCAGGUGAAGGAGGAACUAGAGACCAUGUUUGGUUCUUCAAGAGAGCAUUAAUUUCUUCGUUCAUUGCCGCACGCCAUUCAGGCGUUUUGGAGGCUUGAGAAUAACAAGUAGGUUCCAAUUCAUCAAUAGAGGUGAGAAGGGCACGAGAAAUGGGAUACCUGAUUGUGCCAUCAGUCCUAGUUUUCGGCAUAGAGAUACCAUCACGGAGCCGGGUGGUCAUGGGAUGUUGAGAUGCAGGGAGGGCAUGAAUGGGUUCUUCUACUUCUGCAGGUAAUAGAGAAGAGUCCGAGGAGGAAGGAUGCACUGGAGAGCUGGUUGUCGCCGGAUUGGGUGUCAGAGAACAAGGAGGGCCGACUAGAGGCAGAUCAUGAUGGUCGACGGCGGCCGGACCGGGCGGCGGGCCGUUCUGCAUUAGAGUGGGCGGCAGCGGCGAGUUGGGUUCCGGAGGCGCGUUGGGCAACGGAAGACAGAGUGAGCUGCUGGUAGGCAGAGCGACAUCAUUGGUGAUAGGGGUCGGCUGGGGGAGAGGAGAAGAAGAUGGGACUGACUGGGCCGUAGGAGGCAGGUCCGGUUGACUUGGAGAGGAGCUCAGCACGGGCUGGGUCUGUAGUCUUGGGCUUGGAGUAGUAAGAGGGACAAAUUCAAGAGAAUCUCCAGAAUUUUGAUGUACCUGCAAGUUCUUAUACGGAAAACUAGUUUCGUUAAAAAUAACAUGACGAGAGACAUAGACACGACCGGAGGAGGGAUCUAAACAACGAUAUCCUUUGUGUAGAGGACUAUAACCAAUAAAGACACAUUCACGACUACGACUCGACAAUUUGUUAGAACUAUAGGGACCAAGAUAAGGAAAACAAGAACAACCAAAUACACGGAGAGAUGAAUAAGACGGAGAGGAUUGAUAAAGACGAAAGUGUGGUGUAUCCCAAUUGAGAGUGGGUGUAGGGAGAAGAUUAAUUAAAUAAACUGCAGUGAGAGCAGCAUCGGCCCAAAGAUUAUGAGGAACAUGAGAGGUAACAAGAAGAGUACGAACCAUGUUGGCGAUAUGACGAUGCUUACGCUCAGCUAAACCAUUUUGUUGGGGAGUGUAAGGACAAGAAAACCGUUGUUGGAUGCCCAUGGAAGAACAAAAAUGGGAAAAUGCAUGGUUGACAUAUUCGGUGCCAUUGUCACUUUGGAGGUACUUAACCGAUCCGUGGAAGACAUUUUUGAUGAAAGCCACAAGAGUUUGAAAGUGAGUUAAGACCUCAGAUUUUCGAUGCAUAGGAUAAAUCCAUGUAUAACGAGAAUAAUCAUCAGUAAAUAGCACAUAGUAUUUGAAACCACGAACAGAGGAAACCGGAGACAUCCAAACAUCACUAUGAAUUAAAUAAAAUAAGGAUGGAGCAUUGUCACUAUGAGAAGAAAAAGGGAGUUGAUGCGACUUGCUAAGCGCACACUCAUUACAAAAAGAUUUAAGGGUAGACUUAAAACCAAUAGAAGACGCUAGACGAGCUAAAACUGAUGACGAGGGGUGGCCCAAACGAUUAUGCCAGAGGGUUGAUCCCACUGAAACUAGAGCAUGAGGGACUUCGGAGGACACACCAGACAUGGGAAGAGGAUAGAGACCAUCUUUACAUGGGCCCUGAAACAAUAAACGACCUGAGCGUAAGCAAUAAAUUUGAUAGAAAUUAGGAGCAAAGAGAAAGAAGACAUGAUUAUCUUUAGUAAAACGAGCAACAGAAAGGAGGUUUUUACGAAUAGACGGAACACGAAAGACAUUGAGAAGAGAAAAUUGAGAAUCUCCCAAAGAUAACGGAAGGUUACCCGUAUGGGAAACAGGCAUAGAGUCUCCAUUCCCCAUAAAAACAUUAUGUGGUCCACCAUAAUUUUGAGGAUUGUUGACGGGCAUGGAUGUCAUAUGAUGGGUAGGGCCGGUGUCAAGAUACCAGAAUGGAUCGCCGUAGGAAGAAAGGUGUGCCCCUGCAAACAGAGGCAUAGUAGUGGGCCCGGAAAAACGAUGAGGGCAAGUAGCUGGACCAUGUUGAGGGGAAAGACAUGUGGGACACCAUUGUUGGGCUGGGGAUGGUCCUAGAAGGCCUGACUGAGCAUUGGGCCGUGAGAACUGGGAGGCCCAUGGAGAGGCUUGAAAACCCAAAACAGGUUGGUGGGGUGCAUAUGGAGAUGUAUUUGGCGGCUGGGCAUAAACGAACGAGCGCGGCUGGUUUUGUUGCCGACGGUUUCGGCCUUAGUUGCCGUUGAAUCGGCUGGAGCCGCCGUUGCCGGAAAAUGGGCGGCGACCGGAGCCGGAAUUCCGACCAGAAGAAGGGCUCGAGGCGUUGAACAACGCUGAGGCAGAGGGAGACGAGAACGCCUUGGGUUGUUGUGAGUCGAACGCCAAAAUGCGCGCUCGAAGUUCUGUGAAAUCCGGUAAGGGAUGAUUUUGAGUGAGAGCGGUUCGAAGCAUCAGAUAAUCAGGUCCAAGUCCAUGGAGGGUAGCAACAACAAGAUCUUCAUUAGAAACAGGUUUGUUGAUGGCAGUGAGAGCAUCUGCAAUUGAUUUGGCAUGACGAAGGUAUUCAUCAAUUGUUUGAUUGCCCUUUUGCAGGUCAAGAAGUUGCAUCUUUAGACUGGCAGCACUGGCAACGGACUUUUGGGAGAAGUGGCGUGCUAAGCAAUCCCAAAUUUCUUUGGCAGUGUUGAAGUCGAUUGUAAGAGAAGCGAUCAGCUCGGUGAGUGUGGUGGUAAGAAUAUUGACAGUCAAUUGAUCGUCGACGAACCAUUGUUCAUAUGCAGGAUUGGGGAUACGAAUAGGAAGAGGAGGGAUGCCCUGAACCGGAGUAGUGGCGUCGGAAGCUUCAGUAGAGGCGGGAGGUGGUUUGGAUGGGGUGGAGAGAAUGGUGGUGGAAGGAGCAGGGAUGGAGCCAUCAACAUAGCCCCAAAGUUUGUUGCCAUGGAGGUAAGGUUUGAUUUGACGAAGCCAGACAAGGUAGUUUGUUUCGAUGAGUUUGAUAAAGUGAGAGGUGUUGGGUGAAGGGGGGUGGGAAACAGAGGAAGAGGAAGCGGCGGAAGCAGAGGCCAUUGGAAAAGAAGAAAAGCUAGAGGGUAGAACCUGAAACUGCUGAUACCAUAUAGAAGUUGUAUUUCAUUGAUUCAACUAUGUGUACAAGGAUGAGUAUUUAUAAUACAGUAUUACUUGGUAACCAAGCUAAGCUAAGGGGUAGAAAUCUAUACAAAGAUUACAUGUUAGAUUACCACACCAAUAUAGAAGACUAUGACUUAAGGCGUGUAGAGGAAGACUCGCUAACAUAAUAUUUAAGUAGGGAUAACUUUUCUUAAGAAUCAGCUACCCCCCACCCAACUAAUUCAGGAUUAAACUCUAAAGCACCCUGAAUAAUCCUCAAGUAAUUGAGUUUACUAUCAGACUAAUCAGAGAAACUUUCAUUGGGCUGGUCAUGAUCCUAAGUCCUAACCUGUUUGGGUUUGCCUUUGUAAAUAAGUGGACUCUCAGAAAAUAAUUGGGCCCAACACUUCAAUAUCUGUUACGUAGUUGGAUAGAAAAACUGGGUGAAAAAAAAAGGAAAAAAAAAAUCAGUCGAACUGGGCUUUCUGCGGGUUAGGCGGAGAAGAGGUGAGGCUAGGCGGAUCGAGGUUUCGUGCGCCGGGGCGGGUCGGAGAGGUCAACCUUUUUUAAGUGGAAGAAAAAAAAAAAAAACUAAACCCCAUUUUACCCCACAAAGUUUACGUGGCCACACCACGCCAUAUCCUACUUCUCUCCACGCGGCCCUACUGCCUUGGCUACUAAGCAAAAUCGAAUCCAAUCCCAUCUCUCUCUCUCUCUCUCUGCAAAUCGGAAGCGAUGCACGAACCGGAGCUCCAGGACCUCGCCGACGACGCCGAUUAUGCGGCGUCGCAGCAACACGUAAGCCUCUCUAUCUCUUUCUCCGAUCACGCAGACUUGAAUUUCAUCGUUUUCUCAACUGUUUCUUAAGACAAUCGAUUCGAUUCUGAUCGCAAUUGGAAUUGGAAUUGAUUUUUGGUGCUAGGGCUCGGCGAGCAUGAUGCGAAGCGAUAGCGGCAGGCACAGCUCGUCGAGCGAGCACGAAGGCGCCGAGGUGGUUUAUGUGAAGGAUAAUGUGACCAUCCACCCCUCUAUGCUCGCGUCGGAGAGGAUUAGUGGACGAUUAAGGCUAAUUAAGCAGGGCUCUUCACUUUUUAUGGUAUGAAAUUGUUUGAUUAUGAUCAUUUGGUUACGAAACGAUUGAUUUCUUUCGUUUUUAUGAAGAAUUUUGGUGGAUGAUUUUGGUUUUGGUGUGAAUUGUAGACGUGGAUUCCGUACAAGGGGCAAAACACCAAUGCUAGGGUUUCUGAGAAAGGUUCUGGAGCUUUGCACUUGGAUUUUUUUGUCAAUUAUUUAGUUAUUGUUUAGGAAUUGUGUUGAAUUUGAUGUGUGCUUGUGCUGGUGUAGAUAGGAUUCUGUAUACUAUAAGGGGAGUGCCGUUGACAGAGGUUCGGUCCAUUCGGCGCCACACUCCUGCACUUGGAUGGCAGUACAUUAUCAUCGUUUUGGCAACUGGUAAAACAACUUGCACUUAAUUACAGUGUUGGCUACUGUUGGUUGGUGGUCUGAGAAUUAUUUGGAAUUUGUGAAUUUGUACACAUAGAGGGGUUAGCAGGUAGUAGUUGGUAUAUAAUCUCUGACCAUAUUAAGUAGAAGAAACCAACGCAUGCUGUAACCCGAGAUUCCUUAGCCUUGGUUAUCAGUCCUUCAUUGGUCAUUCAUUUCUCAUAUGAUGUACACUGUAAGAACUGUUUGGGCAUACCCUAUACUGGGUAUGCUAAACAUGAAACUAAUAGAGAAAUAUUAAGUGUAUAGGGACCACUGAUUGUUUCUCAUUCCAAUUAGUUUUAGCUUCACUUUAAGUUCAUCAUCAGUUAGUAUUUCUUCUGCUAGGUACUUCUGUUUUGGUAAUUGGUCUAUAUAGGCUGCUAUCUUAAUAUAUAUAUUCCUUUUUUUUCAGGACUUGCUUUUCCCCCUCUGUACUUCUACAAUGGAGGAGUCAAGGAGUUCCUUGCUACAAUAAAGCAGCAUGUGUUCAUUGUGAGGUUGGUUGGUUUCCAUUGAUAUUAUAAUGUAUCAUUCUGUUUCAUUUUUGGUCUGUCUAUCGUAGCUCGUAGGUGUAUUUGGUGCUGUAGAUUUUUUUGAGGAAGUAUUAAUGCUAUAGUGUAGUAGAUCCAUUUAUAGAGCUACAAAUAAAAUUAGCGUAAACUUAUGCCAAAUCGACAAUGGCGCUUGUGAGAUUGAGAGAGAGGUUUUCAUUGUUUCUAUUGGCUGCUGCCCUGAUAUUUACUUGUUUGCACUCAAGUGGUGUUCCAAAUUCUAUUAUCUGUAAUCAUUAAUCGGAUGAAUUUUCCAGGUCAGCUGAGGAUGCUAAUGUAUUUCUUGUGAAUGAUUUUCAAAAUCCUCUGCAGGUAUGCUUCCUACCAGCAAUUUCUUUCGGCAAUUAGCUUACAAAUUUUACUUACAAGGCAAUCAAUUUGUGUUAAUUGAUGCAUAUAACAUCAGCUGGAACGUCUAUUUCUCCUUUUAUCUAGGACAUAUUGGUCUUAUUUAUAUUAGAUUAACAAAGUAAAACAUGGGGAUCUCUAUGUUGCACCAUAUCUUUCUUUGAUGAUAUCUUAUUAACAUUGUGUUGGUUGGCUGGCAUGGUCCGUAGUCCCUUUCUCCUCUAUUUUUAAGCAAGAGUUUUUGUUGAACAUUAACUGUAUGAUGGUCUUAUGGUUUAAUCUCUAUUUUACAAACUUGAUGUCUGAGUGUCUGACCCAAGGCUGGAGACCGCAAUUUUUUCUAAUGACUUAUUGGCUUCUUCAGAAAACUCUAUCAUCUUUGGAGAUACCGAGGGCGCUUUCUGUUGGAAGUGAGCCAUCUACAUCUUCCUUAGUUGGCGAGACGUCUCUAGAUGAAAUGCAGGAGAGAAAAAGUGAGGAUGUCCAAAAUGAUUAUACAAUUUCUCAAUAUAAUGAGAGGCAAAAGCAAAAGAAUCAUGAUCCUGCACGAGAUAUCUCAAUUCAAGUGCUGGAGAAGUUUUCUCUUGUGACAAAAUUUGCUCGAGAAACAACUUCGCAACUCUUCCGUGAUGGCCAUAGUAAUGGAUAUGGAGGUAUACAAAGGAGAAGUAAUAGCCUGUCUUCCAUUGAUUACUCCUCUCAAAAGGCAUCUGAUGAUUCAAACAAAGUCUCUGAUAAAAGUCCAGUCCCCGAGGAUCCACUGGAGGUAAACCUUCCAUCCUAGUAUUGAUUGUAUUGCAUUCUGGUAAGCAUUGUUGUAAUUGUUAUCCUUCUAAUUAAACUCAAGGCAGUUUUCUGUGGUGUUUCAUAAAAUACGUAGUAAAACCAGAGUCUUGGACCCUUUAGACUUGAUUAAGCCAAGGGUUUUAAUUUCUUUCUAAUUUUUACAUCCAUUGAUUUAAUGUUGUUUAUUUUCCUUCUGUUAUUUUAAUUGGCAGUUUGACAAGAAUUCACUGGUAUGGGGAAAACCACGACAGCCUCCUUUGGAGUUUGAUGAGGUAAACCCAACCCGUCUACUUUUUAUGCACUAGAUGGAAACAAGGCAAAGUUAGUAGUUUCAAUUCUUGGAAUGUUAUAUAAGAAAUAAAGACAAAAAUUUAUCAUGACAUUGACAUCCAUAUGUAAUACUAGGUUUAUCAGAAGUUUGAUAUUACGUAGGUACUACUUAAUAUUGAUAGGAAAUUAGUCUCUUGCUGUGAACCCAUUGGCUCAAUCCUUUUACCUCUGACUACUAUUUUAAUAUGUUUAUCUAAUGCACUAUGGUGAACCAGGUUAAAAUAAACAGUUAACAGUAUGGUACUGGUGAUGCUAGAAAUGUGCUAAAAUUGUCAUAUUGCUUUGUGUAACAUGAUUUAUUAUUUUUCAGUGGCGCACCUUCUUGGAUUCUGAAGGGCGGAUCACGGAUUCAGAAGCUUUAAGAAAGAGAAUAUUUUAUGGGGGAGUUGAGCACAAACUACGGAAAGAGGUUUGCAUGUUGUUGUAUUUUGGAAAUUAUAAGUUAAGUACUUUGUAUAAUAUUGCAUCUUCUCAGUAUUGUAUUGUUAAUCAUGAACCUAGGUCUGGCCAUUCUUGCUGGGAUACCAUGCAUAUGAUUCAACAUACGCAGAGAGGGAGUAUCUCAAGGCAAUGAAGAAAGCAGAGUUUGAGACAGUAAAGAAGCAGUGGCAGGUUUGUAAAGAUAUAUUGUAACCUUUAUAGUUCAUCCUUCCCCAAAGUUUUCCUAUUUUUAAAAUGCUUUGCUGAGUUAAGAUAAAUAACCUUCAUUAAUUAUUAUAGUCCACUGUCGAAAGGUUACCUCUUUUCUAUACCAUCCUACCACCAUUAUGUAAAAUAUUGAAUUGACACUUGAAUAUAGGUGUGUGUAUGGAAGAAACAUAUGUCUCUAUCCAGUAGUUAGGUUCGCUGGUGUAAAGGCAUUUAACAAGUGCUGCAAAAUAUUGUAGGCAAGAAUAUUUUAUGGGACAUGUGUAAAUGUUUGUCUAAACUAUGUAAUAUUUUGCAACGGUUCUAUGUGGGAUGAGAUGUUCUUUCUCUCUCCUCUCUCCACGUUCACAACUAUCUUAAGCUUGAUUAGGUGGCAUAACAUAUGCAUUUUUACUCUGCAGAGUAUCUCCCCAGAGCAGGCAAGAAGGUUUACAAAAUUCCGAGAGAGAAAAGGCCUUAUUGACAAAGAUGUGGUAUGAUGAAACCCGCAUACUUAUUCUUAGACUUAACUUCAAAAGAUAACUACAAUGCAAUUUUCAAUUCUAAAACUAUGAACUCUAUUUGUUUUAGGUGAGGACCGACAGAUCUAUCUCCUUCUACGAUGGGGAUGAUAAUCCAAAUGUGAAUCUGUUGCAUGAUAUAUUGUUAACAUACUCGUUUUACAACUUCGAUCUUGGUUACUGUCAGGUGAUGACUUCUUCUAAUGACUUACUGCAGUUGGCUGCAUAAAAUUACUUUGUAUUGAAGCAAUGAUUUUGUUUGGCAGGGUAUGAGUGAUCUUCUGUCCCCAAUAUUGUUUGUAAUGGGGGAUGAGUCGGAAUCAUUUUGGUGUUUUGUUAAACUGAUGGAGCGCCUUGGGCCCAAUUUUAACCGUGACCAAAAUGGCAUGCACUCUCAACUUUUUGCCAUAACUAAGGUCUCUCUCUCUCUCUUGCUCUCUCUCUCUCUACACACACACACACACACAUAUGGGCAUGUAUAUCCUUUCCGAUGCCAAUGAAAUAAUGAUUUUUGUUGUUGUUUUUGUGGCAGCGUUUUUUCUUUUUUUCAUUUACCCUCACCUUAGAUUGGGAUGCCACAGUGUUGUUGGGUUCUUAAAUGCUUGAAUGAAGUUUUUGGUUACAAUUUGCUUUGCCGGGCAGCCAUUAUUGUAUGAAUUUAAUCCUAUAUCUUUGCUUUUGCAGUUGGUGGAGAUGUUAGAUAGCCCCUUGCAUAAUUACUUUACACAGCGUGACUGCUUGAAUUACUUCUUUUGUUUCCGCUGGGUUCUGAUACAGUUUAAAAGGUCAGUUCUCUUAUCUGCUAGUGAAUUAUUUUUAGUUGUGCUCCAUUCAUUCAUGUAAGUGGGUUGUGUGUGGUGUGUGUUGUUUUGGCGCUCAUGGUGUCAUAUUUUGAGGAUAUUUCCAAACCACAACCUACCUUGUGCCCAUACAUCCAUUGGCCACAUCGCAGAGCCUUCUGGCUUCUGGCCUCUGGUUCAAUAUGUUCAGUGCUAGAUGUUAAAUAGUUUUACGUGCAAUGUGGUUAAUGUUUUACAGCUGUUGUUAAUGCUUGUAAAAGCCUGUUGAUUCAUGCACGUGUAACCUGUAUAACAGGUCAUAAUUUAAGGUUCCAAUAAUGAAUAAUACGUUUGUUCUGCUCUUUGACAAAUAUGUAGGAUAUCACAUGUUACAUUUUUAAUACUACUGUAUUAUACUUUUCCUCUAUUUUUCCUAAUAGAGUUUGAUCACAUAUCUCUAGGGAAUUUGAAUUCAACAAGACACUGAGAUUAUGGGAGGUACUGUGGACACAUUAUCCAUCUGAGCACCUCCACCUAUAUGUGUGCGUUGCGAUACUCAAGCGAUACCGUAGUAAGAUAAUUGGGGAGCAGAUGGACUUCGACACUCUACUGAAGUUCAUCAAUGAGCUGAGUGGUCAGAUAAAUCUUGAUGCCGUUGUGAGAGAUGCAGAAGCUCUGUGCAUAUGUGCUGGUGAGAAUGGUGAUGCUUGCAUUCCACCUGGAACUCCGCCCUCACUACCUGUUGAUGAUGGUUUGUUGUACCCUCAACAAGAACUAGAUGAGGUAUUGUAAAUGACUUUCACUCAACCGAGGAUCUCUAUAAACUCCAUAGGAACACUUAUUAUGGCAUCACUAGAUAAUUGGUGCAUUGUUGAGACAAUUAGCUUGUGUAUCAGCGUCUGCGGAUUUUGAAACAUACAAUAUGUUCACUUCAUGAUACAAUCAUCUAUUGGUGUCUAUAUAUUUUUUUUUAUUUGCAUAUUUCUAAAUUACUGCCAAAUGAGCUCAUGUUGCAAGUUCACUAAGUUUUGCUUAGAGAAGGUUGGAAAAGAGGAUACGAUCAAUAAUCAUUUUAUUAGUAAUUAACUGCAGAGGAAACAUAGGGCACUGGAUAAUAGUGGAUGCAACUGCUUAAUUAUCUAUGAUGAUCAUGAGAAGUUGAUUCAAUCUUUCAUCAUCAUCACUUAUGAAAUAGCUGGUAGUGUGGGGAAUGAGGAUCAUCAGCAGAUGAAAAUGGCAUCGUAGCUGAUGAUUGCAUUCCCUCAGUAGCAGCAGCAGCAGCGGUAGUGCAUCCAAAUGCUGCUUCGAGCAAGAGAAAAGAAUCCAUGUGGGCAAAGAAAGGCUCAUCAUCGAAUGCAAAUGUUGACGAUGAUGUUGCGAUGUUGCCUGUAAUUGUAGGCAGGCAGCACUGAAUCCAGCUGCUGCUUGGCGAAUAUUGAUGGUCUAUAUCUGCGUAGUCGAAAUUCAAGCUCUGAUCUGUGUUACUAGUGUAGUCACCCAUCCAGUAUGGGUAACUUGUUGCCGUCAUAGUACUCGUGAUAGUACUGGUACUUGGAUCGUCCUCUUUGCUGUUAAUUCCAUCUUUCAGUUCCUCCUCACGAGUCAUGCUUUCGGUCUUAGUUGAUUCAGUACCGCCGAUGGUUUUCCUCGUUUUGUUACUACACCGGCAGUUGUCUUGAUGUUUAUGAGUAUUGUCCGAGUAGUUAUCAUGAUUAUUGGUUUUUCUUUUGCGGCCGCUCAGACCUCCAGAUUCCGGUGCCGGGCAGCAGCCGGUGUUGUUCUUGUUCAAAUGGGUAUUCCAGUAGUUCUUCACUUCAUUGUCUGUUCGACCGGGAAGCCGACCAGCAAUCAGUGACCAGCUACACAUGGUUGGUUACAAACAAAUCAAACCAAUGGUAAACUUGUAAUGAGAUUUCAUCAACAACAAAACCUCACAAUACUGUCAUUUCUGCAUAUUUUCGGGUUGCAGUUAUGAAGCAAACGAAGUGUUGGGAGAGGAUUACCGGUUGCCAAGGAGCUUAUGCAUUCGGAUAAUGAGGUCUUCCUCCUCCUCGGACAUAUCUCCACGUUUGAUGUUGGGUCUCAAGUAGUUCUUCCACCUUAGCCUACAGCUCUUUCCGCUUCGAUUCAAACCUGAUCGCCGUAGUCUGUCACUGGUGAAGAACUAGAACAUGAAAAAUGAGUACAGUAAGUAGCUUAGCUCAACUAACCUGAUCGCUUGGAAACAGUUGCCCAGUUUCCUUCACCAUGAGUCUCCACGUACUUCUUGAGAAUCAAAUCCUCCUCUGGCUUCCACAGGUUCUUCUUAUUCCAACUACUGUGUUGCUCUUGCUGCAAAGCUUUCACUCUUUUGUUUUCCAUAACACUCUUACGUAUACACUACUAAGUAGCUCUCUCUUUCUAAAGUAAGUAAUUAAUGGAGGUGAAUGUGAGGGGGUUGGACUAUAUAUACAGAGAUAUAUACGUAAAGAACACCGACUGGUCAGAGGGCUAGGAACUCGUGCAUGGUUUUAUUCAUGUAUAGGACUACAUUGAGCAUUUGAUGUGUGACUUAUGGGGCCUGGACUGGUAAAUGAGAGGGUCCUAUGAUAUUCUUACUUUCUUAGUUCCCCACUCUCCCUACUUUAGCUUUUCUUGACACCCCCCAUUUGUUCACUCAGCUCUUCUGGAAAAGCUACCAAUUCAGGUGUAUCUUCUCCAUCUUUGAGCAAGUACGUACUUCCAAUUCAAUCUUACUAGCUAUAGCUACUCAGAUUUCACAGAAAGUGAAAUACUUGAUAAAAAAGAACAGUAACUAUGCCAGGUGAUUCAGUUGAGUGCGUUCAUCUAUUAUUUUCGUUGCAGUUUUACUUGGACUACAGUUCCGAGGAUAACGAGCAAUAUUGCAUGCGAAGAUUAUCAGAUGGAGAUGGUUGAUUCCUUUUGGAGACGCACGGGUGCCCCCCCCACACUUUUCAAGCUUUAUAUCACCCAAUCUCACUAUGGUUUUUCCCUUUUACUGUGAGUGUGUGAACCAAUGAACUCUAUUUCACUCAGUGGAUCUGUAAUCUAUAUGAAUAAGUGAUUUUUAGGUUCUCAAACUUUCAGAAUAUAUAAGACGGAUAAACACAGUGAAUUUAGAGUUUAACUCAACGUGACUUUAGCGUUUAAAUUUCUACCCAGAACUUGAGAGAGUGCUAAACCCUAAAUUCACAUUAUAUCAGUUGAUAUAGAAAGCUUGGUAAAAAAUUAAAACUAGUUGAACACAUAGCACUUGAUUUUAGAGAGAAAGAUCACCGUCUACACCUUUGGCGUGAAAAAUGUGGUGUUUCCUAUGUAUUAGUUUCCAUGGCUUAUACAUGCACGGUCGACAUCGAUCUAUCAUGCAUAUAGAUGUUUCUGUCAUACAAUGGAGUGAUGCAGAAUAACAUGAUGUUUCUGUCACUUAGUCUCGAUCAGCUCAGAGAACCACAUGCACUCAAUUAGUUUGUUCUUCCAAAUGUAUCUUAAAUUAUUUGCUUAUAAUCAUAGCUCCCUUUUCAGUUCCUUGCAUUGCAUUCAGCAAAUUGUUGGAUCAGUGUCUCCUUCGAGUAACAAAACAAUCAUGGCUCAAAUCCAAGCUUGGUUUCACCCUUCACAUGCAUGUCCCUUCUUCUUCUUCUUCUUUUUUGCUUGGUUUCACCCUUCACAUGCAUGUCCCUUCUUCUUUUUCUUUUCUUUUUUUCUUUUUUUUGAAAAGGAUUUUGGACCAUGUUCGUCCUUUCUUAAUCAUGUGAUGCUUUGCCCAGAACGAUGCAUAGCCGUUCACUAGGCAUAUAUGAAGAGCGUUCAUCAAGUUCCAUUGAUUCAAUCUUUACACCUUGAAUCCCAUUGCCUUUUGAAACACAUCGAUCAGCUGCUUCAAACUCAGUUUCCGACGACCGAAAAUGAAAAACUUAUACAUAAUUAGCAAACGAUGAUCGAGACCGAAUAGCUCGCGCGUAUUUGUUCAUACAUAACAUGCAUUGUUAGAACUUUCGCAUUUUGGUUCUAAUAUAGGAGUAAUGCAUUAUGCAUAUUACUCUCUCUUCUAUGGCAAAAUUUUUGCUUUAAUUCUCGGUCAUUAUCAGCACGUAAAGUUGUACUAAUGAACAAGUUCAUCCGACGAGGGAUAGAAAAUGACAAGCUUGUGUGCGGGCAUAGUGGCAUACAAUCCAUUUUUAGGAUUAAUAGUGCUUCAAAUUUCAUGGUGGAUUACCUUUAUGGAGGGCCAUGAAAGCUAGCUGCAAUUAAAAUCGAUCGGUAUUGUCAAUUUCCGAUGUUUCUUUCUUUCUCUCAAAAGAAUGGAAUGCUUUAGGAAUCAACUAGUAAAUUAUUCGUUUGAUGUGAUUCUCAGAUGAUCUUGUAUGAGAUAAAUGCACUUUUAGAUGUACAAAUAAAGUUGGAUGAUUACAGGCCUGAUGAGCAUUUCUACAGAAUUUAAUUUUAUAUAUGAAGAAAUCUUUUUAUUUCCAAAUUCAAAUUCAGAAAAGAAACUAUCUACUAGGUUUUAAUUUUGAACCCAAAAAUAGUCCGGCAUUGGCGAUUCCGAUAGAUCAUAUUACUGUCAAUACAUAUACAAACAAAUUGCUGUAUGUUUUUUCUUUUAAAUUUGUGUAACAGAAGUUCUUCGUGUGAAUUAUUUCUUUUGCAAAUGGACGAAUUUCAAAAUCUGCACUAUAUGCUGCAGAUAGAGAGAGAGAGUCACACUUUUAAGCUGGCAUAUAUGUUGGGGUUUCAGAAUGCAGAUUGCGAUUCCUUCAUCACCAUCGACCCCAUUAUUUGCACAAUCAUAUAGCACCUUUCUUCUCCUUUAUCGUGAAUCACAUAAGUUAAUAAUGUACAAUAUCCUACAGUGUACCUUGCUGCAAAGCAAAAGCAAAGCCUUCAAUAUUAUUCUAGCAAUAAUGUAUUGAUCAAAACCCCACCCUCCUGAAUCCUGCUUGCCUCUGCAAAAUGAGCUUGUUUUUGGCCAGUUUAUCAUCCCCCAUAGUUCCCGGUUACAUCAAACCAUUGCACGACGUACAAUUCAAAAUCAAACUUUUUGGUUCAAUGAUACAAAUGGAGUAUCUUCCUAGGAUUCUCUCUUUUCAGUAUAAUUAUCAACAAGUUAAAAAAGUAAAAACUUAUUAAUUUCAAUCAAAUUUGUGUAUAUUGAUAUUGUUAGAAAUCACGGUUUAUUAAAGAAAAAGUGUAGAGAAUGUACGUGCGACGAAAGCUUAAUUAGAGGCUACAUUGUGUUUGUAUUGAUCAAGAAAAAGAGCGAAUUUAACCACCGGCGGAGGUACAUAGAGACCAAGGGGUGCUAUGGCACCCCCUAGAUUUAUGAUUUUAUAUGCAUUUGGUGUUUGGAGUCUAGCUAGUUUAUAAGUUUUAGCUAUGUUGGCACACACCCCCCCCCCCCUCCCCCCCCCCCCCCCCCUCCCCAGUCCUCUAGAUUGGUUUGGUUUACUAAUAAAAAUAAUACAAAUUUUCUCUUUCUAGGAAAAUUAGUUGUUUAGUCCAAUAAAGAAUAAUAAAAGGUUUAUAUUAACUCAUUCCUAAUACAAUUAUCCUUCUACCUCACCCCAUCAAUUAACAUUGUCUUCUAUAAAUAAUCAAACUCAUAGCAGCAUAUUCGUACAAAUAUGUUCAAAAUCAGUUGAGAGACUACAAAUACAUCUUCCUGAUAUGGAACAAAUAAGAUUCGAUGCAACUGAAACAAUAGAGUUUGAUUAUUGAUUAUUGAUUAUUGAUGACUCGAUUAUACAAAUAUGCUGCUAUGAAAUUGAUUAUUGAUGACUCGAUUAUUGAUGACUUUCGCAAUAUGCAGGAGACGAGUCCAUUUUUAAUGUAUAACCCUAUUUAAAACUUUAUUAUAUUAUAGAUUAUGUUUUUUUUUCUUUCAAUAACCUCUUUUAUAUCGGCCCCCUCACUUGUAUUUCCUGGUUCCGUCUCUGAAUUCAACCAUAGGUAAUAAUGUAUGAAUUGAGAAGCUCUAGCUCAAUUAUAUGGAGGAUAACAUGCACUUGCAAGUGAUUCACACUCACUGCUAACAGUAAACAGUGUGAUAGUAUGAUACACAACUAGAGCUGAUACCUGCGCCUUGGCGCGGUGUACAUUUAUGAAGUUGGUUAAUGAUUCAGUUGAUUGAUAGAAAUGUUUUUUAUAUGUACUUCAUAGAACUUCAAUACAUUGUAUAUCACAUAUACAUAUGAUUCUAAUAAUAGAGCUAUUACAAAAGCAACAAUACUACAUAACAAAACAUCUAGUGUUGUGUCCUACCUAAAAUAGUAAAUGUCUUAUAAGUGCACAAAGCAGAACAACUUGUCUAGAGCAAUAUGAUCGAAAAUAUAGCUCCAUUUUUUACUGUACAAAAUGCUCAUAUUUGUUUAACUGUUUUUCACUAAAAACGCAGUCUUAGCUUACUAAGAGUUAGAUAAAACACUGCAGUGAUUGACAUUUAGUUGUUGUUCAGCUCCUUGCUUGAUGAUAAUUUUUCCUUGCUUGGGUUCACAAUAUGUAAAGAUAAUAAAGAUCAAUCAAGGAUUAAAGAAUAAAUCUACAGUUGGAAAGAAAUCAGACAUGUAUGAUCAUUCAAGAAUUGACUAUAAAACUUAGAAUCUUUUGUCAAGUGGUCAAUAAAUAAAUUAGGUGAAAUUUAAGUAAAACUUAAGUAUUUAAUUAAAGAAAAUUAAAAGUAAUAGAAAAGGAAAAAAAAGAAAAAAAAAAGAAAAAGAACUAAACUACUCACAUAUAGCAAACUGAAGAUCUAUUUCAUACUACAGAAGGAAAAGGAAAAAAAAAAAAAACAAACACACACACACACACAAAGCAAGUGAUUAAGCAACUGAAAAGAAUAUCUAUCUCAAACUCCUAAAGAGAUUUAUCUCAAAAUGUCAAAGAUGAGAACUUAACAUAAAAACUAAAACCAAAGAUGAGGAACCAAGUAAAUUAAAAGUAAACAAAACAAAAACCAAAUAUAUUGCAUUAGUAUAUAUAACACAGUACUUCAUCACACGAUAUUUAAAUUAACUUAGUACGUUUUGUUAAUUAGGAGUUGGUUUGCAACCAGAUAAUUUCUUUGGCCAAAUCAAAGAUGUAUAUACUUCAAUUAAUAUUCCGUUGCUAAAAUGGAACCAAAAUUGUUUCACCUCAAUAAUUAAGAAAAUAGACUUGCUCAACCUUGGUCUAUGAUAACACUACCAUAUUUUAGAUUACUUCGAUAACAAUACCUUUUGUGAGAUAUAUGAAAAAAAUAAAUAAAUAAAUUUGAGACACGGUAAUAAAGAUAGGAGUUCAAAAGUUAUUUCCCAACCCAGAACAACAACAACAACAACAAAAACAAAUUAUAUAGAAGACAAUUAUAUAUAUAGGGUUAAUGGUAAUUUUGUGUUUUUUUAGAAAUAGAGGGCAUAAAUGGAAUCACACCCACCAAAAAUAAAGGCAAAAUCGUCCGUGCAUUAUUCAUGGGAUGUGAACAGUGUUUAUAAACAGUAAACCAUUAUUUAGUAUAUAGGUAAACUAGAGUUGAUACCCGCGCCUUGGCGCGGUGUAUAUUUAUAAAGCUGGUUAAUGAUUCAGUUGAUUGAUGGAAAAGUUUUUGAUAUGUACUUCAUAGAACUUCAAUACAUUGUAUAUUACAUAUACAUAUGAUUCUAAUAAUGAAGCUAUUACAAAAGCAACAACACUACAUAACAAAACAUCUAGUGUUGUGUCCUACCCAAAAUAGUAAAUGUCUUGUAAGUGCACAAAGCAGAACAACUUAUCUGGGANCAGUAUGAUCGAAAAUAUAGCUCCAGUUUUGACUGUACAAAAUGNNNNNNNNNNNNNNNNNNNNNNNNNNNNNNNNNNNNNNNNNNNNNNNNNNNNNNNNNNNNNNNNNNNNNNNNNNNNNNNNNNNNNNNNNNNNNNNNNNNNNNNNNNNNNNNNNNNNNNNNNNNNNNNNNNNNNNNNNNNNNNNNNNNNNNNNNNNNNNNNNNNNNNNNNNNNNNNNNNNNNNNNNNNNNNNNNNNNNNNNNNNNNNNNNNNNNNNNNNNNNNNNNNNNNNNNNNNNNNNUAGAUUGACUUCGAUAACAAUACCCUUUGUGAGAUCUAUGAAAGAAAAAAAAAUUGAGACACGGUACCCUAUUUUAGAUUGACUUCGAUAACAAUACCCUUUGUGAGAUCUACGAAGAAAAAAAAAUUGAGACACGGUAAUGAAGAUAAGAGUUCAAAAAUUACUUCCUAACCCACAACAUCCUCAACAACAACUAAUUAUAUAGAAGACAAUCAUAUAUCUAGGGUUAAUGGUAAUUUCGUGGUUUUUUAGAAAUAGAGGACAUAAACGGAAUCACACCCACCAAAAGUAAGGGUAAAGUCGUCCGUGCACUAUUCAUGUGAUGUGAACAGUGAAUAUAAACAGUAAACCAUACUUUAGUAUAUAGUUAAUUUGGACUGAAAAGUGAAAAGGUCGGAAACAUAAUAAUUGAAUAGGUAUGUAUGGGCCAAUUGGGCAUAUAUAUAUGUAGAGAUGAAACAUGAAAUCAAUAGAUGUUUUGGCCCAAAAAUGGCAUUUGAUUCAUAGACCCAACAUGUGAUAUUCAUACACUGGCAUUUGCCACCUACAGAUAUUCAAUCUAUGCCGGCAAUAUAUUAAUUACACAACAACAAAUCCAGCUUUGUUGGUAUGAUCACCUUGAAUGGAAUUCAAGUCACACUGCCAGAUACCAUUUGCAUUUAGUUUCUGGUCUAUUUCCCACCAACAAACAAUGACAAGCACAGAAAAGAGUGGAAAGGAUGUCAUUUUCUUCGUUGCUUAUAGGAAUUAAAGUGAGGAAAUCAUGCAGUGCAGGACUGCAGGGUUUGGAUUUUGAAGCUGAGAAGAAACAGUCAUAUAAUUUCAUAUCGAUCUAAAACCGACAGCAAAGGACUCAAAGUCUUACCAAAAGAAGCCACCAGAAUCAUAUGUAGCCAGGAAGAAAUUAUAACAAGGUAUCUAAUUUUCUUUCUGAAUUAUGCUGUGGCCUGCAGAGUGCAGCAGAAGUAAAUGUCUUGUUGAAGUUGGACCUAGUUGCCUUACCAAAACUAAACCAGACAUCAGACAUGAUAAUUAAACUAGGUUGACAAGUUCGAAUUAUACUUGUUUUUUCUUGACAUAUGAUGCCUUUUCUUGACCUUCUGCAGCAUUUGUUCGCCUUCCAAGCAAAAGAUCGACCAAAACUUGUUUAAUUUUCUUAAUAAUUUGACCAAAUCCACCAAAAACACUACAAAAUCUUUACACUUAAAACAUUACGAGUAAAAUUGUACUGAUUACGAGAGUGCGUGUUCAAGAUGAUAGAAAACUAGUCGUCUGAAUAGUAGCCUUGAACUUGACACAUUUUAUCUUUCCAUGAAUCUAAACUUGACACAUUUUAUCUUUCGAUGAAUCUAAGCACCACUCGUUACAUCAUAUUCAAGUCUAAAAGAUUAAAUAAAGAACUAGAUCUUGUGGAGGAUUUACGGCCAAAAGCAAAGGGUGAAAACAAAAAAUCUGAAUGGAGAUGAAUCUUUUCAAUCCUUGAUUGCUUGUUGUCGACUUCAAAGUCGUGAUCAUAAGACAAAGCAAAAUCUGACUUUAUAUAGAACAAAAUAUAUAGGUUGUCCGUUUGUCCCCCCUUAGCUUCUCCUCACUCUACUCAAUAGUAUUUUCAACAAGCUUCUUAGAUAAUAUUCGAAAUUGAUACUAUUCGAAAUUGAUUUGAAUUAGAUAAUCGAUCACUUUCAUUCUUAAUCUGUUGGCCAAAUUCCCAUUUGACGCCUGAUUAUUAUGCUUAGGGUUAGAGAAUGUCUCCUUUACUAAACACUACUUUUUUAAUUAAACUGAUCAUUAAACUGUUAUUGCAAGUCCAGUAACAUUAUAAUUGUCAUGUACAAGAUAACUAUUUCACGAAAAGCAAUAAUGUCCUAGUGGUUAUGGCGACCGUCAAGUUUUAAUAAAUGACGCUCUAACAAUCUACAAUUAACCGGGUUCGUUUAUUUUAGAUAUAAACUUAUACUUUACGUUUUUGAUAAUUUGUUCAUGUUUUAUCUUCGUUUUAACUUUAGAUAAUUGAUUUUAUUUAAAACUCAUCAGGUUAGUUUGUCAUAGCUUAAUUUUCACAUGAGUUCCUUUCUUUACUAUCGACGUUUCAAUGUAUGUGGUGGUGAUCGUGAUGUUGCCAAAUCACACAUAUACAUCACUUCACACUCAUGUAUGUUCGAUCAUCAGUUCAUACCCGUGAAAUGUCUGUCCACUGUCCAGGUACAAUGAGAUAAGAAAGGAUUGGAUAUAUAUCGGACAUGAUCGAUCUCACUUGACACUCGCAAAGAAUAAGGGGCUACGUACUCCCUUUCACUCUCUUACCCCAUUCAUCGUGUAACGUUUAACCCUAGCGAUCGAUAUCAAAAUCAAAUCAGUAGUGGACUAGUGGUCACACACCCACACGUACACUCCUCGUGAGCUGGACCAUCGGACACAUGGUCGAUCUCUACCAAAGCUCCUCUGAACACUAAAACCAAUAGUUAGUUCCAUGCAUGCAUACAGACAACUCUAUCCGAUCGAUAUCGGACUAGUUUAAUCUGCAGGCAGGGCUGGCCAGUCCGGUCAAGUUUCUUAGGGUUCCAUUGUUGGAAUAUGGGUGGCAUCUUCUUAGUCUCGUCGCCUCGUGCGGCAUUUCUUGGUCCUGCUUUGCCGGCGAGUCACGUGACUGACCCUAGUUUUGCUUCUCUGCUUCUUCAAUCAUGGAGGCUGAGAGGGCCGAGAGUACGACUAGACUGAAAUGAAGCGAUUCUUUUAUGGUGGUUUGUUGGGGUUUUUGUAAGCCAAAUGUGUAGAUAUUCUAAAACGACCAUACACAAUUCCAUAUUAAUUGUAUUUCGAUUCAUCGAUCUUCUUUCUGCUUCUUGGUACGUAUUCAUCCCCCAAACCAAAACGAAAGCACAUAGGGAACAUAUAUGUGUACGUUUUGUCAAUUUUGUACCCCAAUUGGCCGCUUGGUACUGUUAAUUUAGGUCCUCUUUAGGAUGAACAUUCAUCACGAACACGAACAUAUUUGUUGUUCGUUGCAUGCACCCAUUUGUGAAUUAUUCUAUGAUGAUGUUAAAUGACAAAGAGGAAGCCACGUAUGGUAUUAUUUAUCUUCUAUGUUUUGGCAAUGUAACAUAUAUUAAUGUUGAAGCCUCCCAAAGAUACGGUCUCUUGUAAGCAGUUGAUUACGUAAGAAGCUAUCUGCAUAUAUCAAAUAGUUUAAAUCAAACAUCAGUUCGUGUCUAAUCAUAGACAUUAGUAUUAGUAGAGAUAAUGUUUGGUGUCGGGACAAACCAUAAUAAAUUCAAAUUAAUAGUUUGGUACAUAAAAUUAUACAUUGACUAGACGAGUAACUAGUUCUCAAGAGCAAAUGUAAGCAUGCGGUUAAGCCAGCAAAAAUAUAUGAUCGAUGAAACAUAAUCUUAAUUAAGUAGAGCAAAUGUCUCCAUCCGUCUCAAAUAGAGAAUAGAGAAGUUACAUUAACGUGUUGUACAACUUACAAAACUUUAAAUUUUAAGUUUUAAUUUGUAUAAUGUGAUUAUCGUAUAAAGAGUCGAGACACGUCAUUUUAAAAUCAUCAUCAGUUUGUCUAAUUAUCCAGACAUAAUUAGUUUAAAAGUGUAAUUUCUAAACUUAUUUAUAUGCAAAAUGAGGUAAAUGACGUGUGUUCAUGACGAAUAUAAACAAUAAAAUCGUCACUAGCUAGAUCAUGUUUUUGUUUUUGGUGUUUGAUGGAGUUUAGAAUCUUGACUCGUUGUUGGUAAUAUGUAAACCCCGUGUCAACUGUAAAAAAAACAGAUAUUGUCGACUGUAAGAAAAACAGAUAAUAAUAACUUAAAACAUAAAAGAGUUGGUGUUUCGGAUAUAAAUAAUAAUUUUCUCAGAUUAAAAGGUGCUGUUGCUCGUGAAGACGUGAUCAGUUACGUGAAUAGCUGCUGGAAUUGCUGUAUAUAGUAAAUAGCUUUGUUGUUGGGUUGGUUCAAACAAUGAAGUUAACAACGGGGCAACCGGGUCGGCCAAAAGUACAACAAUGACACGGACACCUUGGUCCAAUGUCCCCAGAGCCACCUAGCUCCUUCCUCUUCUCUCCCUCUUCUGUUUCCGUGUCCCUCUGUCCCAUGUCCCCAGCCACCUCCUCCCUCACCGCCUUGAGCUCUGUCUUUAUAUUAAAAACCUAGUCUCACUAUUUAGCAACAAACCCAGAUCCCUUAAAACCCAAACUCUCUCUCUCUCUGAAAGCCUCCAAGUCUCACUCUAGCUUCCAUAUUUUAUUGAGCAAUCUUUGUUUUGUUCUUGUUGGAGUUUUACUAGCUGCUCGAUCUCUACUAUGGAGCUUCAGCUGGGUCUCGCUCUUCCAGCCAAUAACGAUUUUCCAGUCAAAGGUGGCCUCGACUUGAACAUCAACGACUUUCUCUACCACCCUACUGACGGCAGCAACAAGAACAAGAAGCGUAGUUUCACCCAAGCUUUUGAUCCCAGCAUUGCCUCAGCAGCCGUGCCUCGAAAGCUGCCUUGGUUGCUUUGGAACAACCAACCAAACGACGACGACGACGACGACACCGGACACAGUUCUCGUUACACCAACAUGAUCAAGUACGAAAUAUUACUAGACACAGUUCUCGGUUUUUACUUUCUUAUCUCGACGACUCUCUUGCAUUAAUUCACAUGAAUAAACGACUAAUGUUGUUUGGUUUUAUUACCGACAGAAAUGAGGAAGAUGGAUUGGUCGGUUGGCCGCCUAUUACGUCGUGGAGGAAGGAGACUUGUUUUCACAUCCAAGGCGACGGCGGUGGUCGUCGUCCUCGGACGGUGAGGGUCAAUGGCGGCGGCUCAACAUUUGUGAAGGUGAAGAUGGAGGGAGUAGGGAUAGCAAGAAAGAUUGACUUGAGCCAACACCAGGGUUUCCACACACUCCUAAGAACCCUGAUGCAUAUGUUUGACAAAUGUGAGAUGGAUUCAGACAAUUAUAAACUCACUUAUCAAGACAGGGAAGGAGAUUGGCUUCUUGCUCAUGAUCAAGAUGUGCCUUGGAGGUAUUAAUAAAACACCCUCUGAUUUUUAUUAUGAACUAUAAUACGAUCUUAUUGAUUGAUUAGUACUCAUCUUUGCCAUUUUGGGUAUGCAGAACAUUCGUGCGGUCAGUGCAACGACUCAACCUGCUUAAGAGGGGAGACUAAUUAAUGAAGGAUUAGAGCACUAUUUUGGGGGUCUAGCAUUAACUAUCUAGAUAGUACAUGGAUAUGAGGGACUGAUGUAAAAUAUAGUUCAUGUAGAGCAUUAUCCUAGCUAAUUAAUCAUCGGUUGUAUGAUAUGUGGAUCAACUUUAGUCCACAACAUAGGAACAUGUUUAUAUAUUUAUCUAAAUUUGUAUGCAACUUAGAUUCCUUUGCCUUGUCAUAGUAAAAUGCGCCAAAGUUACUAAAGUAACAAAACCUUAAUACAAGAAAGCUCUUUCCUUGAAGAAAGAGGAAACUUUCAUUCAAUUAAUUGGAAAAAUGGCAUCUAUUUAUUCUAAUUAUCAAAUUAGGAGUUACAAAUCUAAUUUUUUUUAGUUGGGCUUUCAGUAACCUAACUACUUAUUGUGCUAACUGGGGCCUGAUGCCUUGUGGGCCUAAGCAUCUAUAUCAUUUUCAAUUGCCAAAUAUGGUCGCAAACCCAAAGCACAGCAUAUGGCAUCAUCAGUGUUAUAAAAUAGGAAGCUGUUUAGGUACUAUAAUUUUUUUUAUUAUACCUUUUUUUUGUAUGAGAGAAAAGUUAAUAAAAGAAGAAGCCUCUACAACAUUGUAUACUAAAACGAUCAAAAUUAAAGGACACUAAACGUGGAGAGCGGCAGCUUGCGAUUCAAGAGAGUUGGAUUUUGUAUAUACCUUACUACCUCAGACAAUGACAGAAACAUUUAUGCCCCUGCUUAAAAUCCUCAUGUACUGAGGGACUGAGCUCAAACAAGGGCAAAUACGUCAUUUUGUCCGCGGCCAUAAAAAUCCUACGACAAUCCAAACACACAGCCACGUCCGGCGGAGACUACCAUGUCCAUCACCACCGUCACUGCCGACGCUUUUCACUCAACCCACCACCCGAACUCAUCCACCGACACGUGUCUCCAUCCCUUUCCCGUAUCCCCAAAACUUUGCUGUGCCGCUUUUUUUUCCCUCGGCCACGAGGGGGCACAGGCACGUGAUCAGCACGUGAUCGUCGUCUUCUCAGUACUACUCUCUGGCUUUCUUUCCCAUGGCCCUCCUCACACUUCAACAAGCCCAGCCUGGUAAGCAUCCAACCUCCUCCUUCCAUUUCUAGCUUCAAUUUUAGCUUCUUCUUUUUAAUUGCUAGCUAUAUUUAUGAUAUAUAUAUAUAUAUAUAUAUAUUUAGUCAAAGCUGCGUUGACGACUAUGAAAUUGAACCCGAUUAGUUUAAAGUUUGAACAAUAUUUAUUAAUUGCUUAGUUUUGUAUUGCUGUUUUGGGUGAUGCAUUAAUUAGAGCCUUUUCAAUUUAAUUAUCAGGUUUUGUUUUGAUUGUUUAGUUCUUUUGAUUCGAUUCGAAGAAUCUGUUGAGGGAUUCUGGGGCCUGAGGGGAAGUGAUUCAGCAAAUUGAUAUGUUUUGAUAGAAUAGAGCUCAUUAUUACUAUUAUUAUGAAUUUGGACUAUGUUUUAGAACUGUUCCAUAAAGCUUGUUAAAGUGAGACUUGAUUCCAGAAUUUAUAGGCAACAAUGAUGUGUAUACAACUAUACAUUAGAUAUCAGAAUGUGUAGAAUCCUGUCCAGGAAUCAUGAAUCGUUUUGGGUCUAUCUGGAGACACGCUAAUUGUUGAUUUGCUUGUUCUUCCGAGUAAGAAUAUGUUCCUUGCUUUUUAGGGUAUUUCUCCAAAGCUGGAUCCUAGUAUUUCUCAUUUCACAUUUAUGCAAAAGCGAGUUGUGUGAUUUAUCUCGGUUUUUGUUUACUUUAUAUAUGCAGAUGAUCAUGGUUGUUGUUAGAGCUGUGAUUGUGUUGGUAGUUGAGUUGAGGCAAACAUGACUAAAGCUCUUGUAAUCUUCCUUCACAGCAUGGCACCACGAUAUCUUCGUUCUUCGUUCAGACGGACUCCACGCAAGUUCUUUUGUCUAUUAUUGUUGUUAUUUGUGCCUGCUUGUAUAUUUGGACUCUAUACAGAUCACAUCAAAGUUUCAUAUUUCUUCCGGCCACUUUGGGAUAAGCCUCCAGCUCCAUUUAUACGGCUGCCACACUACUAUGCUGAAAAUGUAAGUUUGGACCAUCUCUGCCGCCUUCAUGACUGGUCCCUGCGUGCUGCCCCACGCCGUAUAUUUGAUGCCAUCAUCUUCAGCAAUGAAUUAGACUUGCUUGAUAUCAGGUGGCAUGAACUUGAUCCAUAUGUCACAAAGUUUUUGAUCAUCGAGGCGAAUACUACUUUCACUGGAUUCCCGAAACCUCUCUUCUUUGCUUCAAAUUGGAACAGGUUUGCCUUUGCUGAGGAAAAAAUUGUCCACUAUGUCUUUCCUGGCACAACUCUACUCCGAGGUUCACAUACAGACCCCUUCAAACUUGAGAGCAUGCAACGUGUAGCUAUGAAUUCUUUACUUCUGCAAGCAGGGAUUUCCUAUGGGGAUGUCAUCAUAAUGUCAGACGCUGAUGAGAUCCCUAGCCCGCAGACUUUGAAACUGUUGCAAUGGUGUGAUGGGAUCCCUUAUAAAAUGCAUCUUGAGCUGAAGCACUACAUGUACUCGUUUGAGUUCCCAGUGGACUAUAGCAGCUGGCGGGCUACAGCUCAGAUCUACACCCCAACUACCAAGUACCAGCAUAUCCGGCAAACUGAUGACCUGCUCUCUGAUGCAGGAUGGCAUUGUAGUUUCUGCUUUCGGCACAUUGAUGACUUUGUGUUCAAGAUGACUGCUUAUAGCCACGCAGACCGUGUAAGGCGGAGAGACUUUCUGGAUUACAGAAGAAUACAGAGGCUCAUUUGUCAAGGAGACGAUCUUUUCGAUAUGUUGCCUGAAGAGUACACAUUCAAGGACCUGAUCAAGAAGAUGGGAUCAAUACCCAAAUCAGCUUCUGCAGUUUACCUUCCAGCUUAUUUGAUAAAGAAUGCGGAGAAAUUUAGAUUCCUUCUCCCUGGAGGAUGUAUCAGAUAGACUGGUAGCUCUUCUAACUCUUCGAAGGUAAAGUAGUAAUUCUGAUCUUGGUGUUUUUUUGGAAAUCCAGAUAGUCUACGGUGCAAAGUUGAUGAGAUUAGGACUUUUAUGAAUUGUGAGAAACCAAACCAACCUUGAAAUACUGAACUCCAAACACUCCAAUAUAUAUUCCCUUUUAUGCCAUACAUUGUUUGCUUUAUCAUUACUCAAAGUGAGAUUCUUGUUCUAUGUUUCUCAGAUAAAAUACCAGGAAUUUUCCGAUUUUAAGGUUUCAAAAUAAUAACUUCUUGCUGCCUUUUCAACUUUAAAGUUACUGAUUGAGGGGAACCAUACCUUAUAGCUUAUUGCUGAAGAAGAAAAUGCUGGAACUGCUGGACUUUGAAGCAGAAAGUGCUUCUGAAUGUGACAUCAACGUAUAAAUUCCAUAUCUUCACUUUCACAUUGGCAGACGAACUGUACCCAAAACUAUAUACAUAGUAUUAUUAUUGGAGAAGUUUCUGGAAACAAUAGUUCCUUGAUGUAAAUGAUCCAAUAGUAAAUUACCAUAGCACCUAGUAAAGAAGUAGCAGCAUUUGAACUUGUAGCAGCUCACCUCUGGGAGGUAAAUUUGUAGCUUGCAAAUGUGUAAUGUGUCGACUUCAGGAGAAGACUUUGGCUUUAGGAUUGAGCAAGGAAACCAUGUGUGCUUGCAUUUCCUUAAGGUUACACACUUACACCGGCUAUGCUUACGUCCCUAAGUUGUUCCUAAUUACCCCAAUGAUCUGCUGCAAUACUAUAUCUCUAUAUUCACACAAAGCCAUGUCCAACCCUCAUGUUAAUACAAGGUGCCGGAGAUGAAGCUUUAAUUGGUAUAUGGUGAUGGCUUCAAGGAUGAGGAUUUGCUCCCAUCGCGGAUGCAGAAGCUUAACCUUCUUGAUGAAGAUAUGGAUCACAAUAGUAUAGAGUUCUGUGAGUUAAGCAAAUCCGAGAGAAAGGAUAUGAUUUCUAUGUUGAUCAUCACACAGACACAGGAGGAGGAGGAGGCUUGUAAACCAAGUUUUCGAAGAAGUCAUUGUAUUAGAGAGGUCUCCAAACUCUGAUGUCUUAACCACAGUGGUUCCCUUGGCAAGAAAAGGACCUCAGAGAAUAUGUGAGUUUCAUUAUUUUAUAUUCUCAUAAUAUUUUAUUUUUGAUGAACAAGAAUUACCAAGCAUGUUAAGAGUGAUUCAUGCUGUAGCAUUCUCCAGAAUGGUUGAAGUUAAGGAAACAUGAGUGUCCAUAAAGAUCACAAUGAUUCUUGUUGCGAAAGUACCAGACUUAAACACCAUACUUUAUAUCUCCUAACAUAACUAGCUAGUAUAUUGGACCUAAACACUUAACAGCAUGAUCCUCACCAAGAACAAGAUAAAGAGAAGGUUAACUAUCUCGAUGUCCUAAAGAACACUAGACUAUUUUACUUAGCAAAGUUAGAAGAGCUACCAGUCUCUCUGAUACAGCCUCCAGGGAGAAGGAACCUAAAUUUGUCCGCAUUCUUUAUCAGAUAAGCUGGAAGGUUAAUAGCAGAAGCUGAUUUGGGAAUCGGUCCCAUCUUUGCUGAUCACUUCCUUGAAUGUGUACCCUUCAGGCAACAUAUCGAAAAGAUCAUCUCCUUGACAAAUGAGCUUCUGUAUUCUUCCGUAAUCCAGAAAAUCUCUCCGCCACACACGGUCUGCGUGGCUAUAAGCACUCAUCUUGAACACAAACUCCUCAAUGUGCCGAAAGCAAAAACUACAAUGCCAUCCUGCAUCAGAGAGCAGGUCAUCAGCACGCCUCGAAUGCGUGUACCUGGUAUCCUUGCUGUAGAUAGUGGCUGCAGUCUUCCAGAUGCUGUCCAUNNNNNNNNNNNNNNNNNNNNUUGCUGAAGAUGAUGGCAUCGAAAAUACGGCGUGGGGUGGCACGCACGGACCAGCCAUGAAGGCGGCAGAGAUGUUCCAUGCUUGCAUUUUCUGCAUAGUAGUGUGGCAGCCAUGUGAACGGAGCUGGCGGCGUAUCCCAAAGUGGCCGCAAGAAGUAUGUAACUUUCCGGUAAUCUGUAUAGAAUCCUAACAUACAUGCAGACACAAAUAUCAACAGUAGGAGAUAAAAGAAGUUGCGUGGAGUUCGUCUGGAAUUAGGACGAAGAGAUCGUGGUGCCAUGCCGUGAAGGAUAUUUCUUCUCUUUUUGAAAGUAUAGCCGGGUGGUGUGCCAUCAAGCCUUGAUUAAAGAAACCGCGGAAUCCAUAACGGGACGUGGUGCCUAUACCCCAAUUUACAAAACUCAAGAGAACUUCCUGAAAUUAAUACAAACAUAGAGGUUUAGUCAUGUCAAAAAUCAUAGCUCUAACAAUCUUGAUCUACCUGCAUAGAGAAAACGUUUUUAAAUCAUGAUGAUAAACAAUGUACCUCACUGCUUUUGCACAAAUUGUAAUACUACCUGGUUUUCUUUAUCACAACUCAAAGUGACUGAAAGUGAGAUUCUUGAAACCCCACCAUGUCAUCUGAUAAAGGGGAAUUGAAAAGCCCUUUGGCAAAUAUUCAAAUACAUCGAUCGUAUGUUUUAAACCCAACAAAUCGUUCAAGAAAAACCAUGUCUAUCAUAGUUUUUUUGCUCACACCAUAAGACAUCAGUUCAAGAGCCUAUCUAACAUUUUAUGAAACAGCAACCAAAUCUCUCUUAGAUAAUUCAGGGUCUAAUAUGCAUUCCAGAAAUUCAAAUCCUAAAUUAAGAAAUCAAACUCGUAAAAACUCUUAGAAGGACAAUGAAACCAAUAAGAUAGAGAUAUAUACCUCCAGUGUCCGCAGGUACAAGAGAGCGAAGGAGGACAGCAAAGCCUAAGAUGGCAGAAAUUCUUGAGUUUGAGACUGAGCAGUCACCCGUCUAAAUUACAAAGAUCAACAAAGUGGGUAUGUGGUUGCUGUUCAAGCGGGGGGGGGGGUAGAUGUUUUGAAGAAAUUUUGUCUCCAUAUAGGAGAAUUUUCCCAACAAAGUGGAUAUGGACAAAAUUUGGUAGCUUUAUAAUAAACACUGGUGCGGUCGUUCUCAAGUCUUAAUGUUUGUGUAAGUUUUAUUAAGUGUAUGACUUGUGUUGGGCUUAAUUAAAUAGAGCCCAACUAAACUCGCUAGGUGUAUUUAGAGAUUUUAUAAAUUUGCUGGCCGAGUUUAAAAAGUUUGCUAGGUGUUCUUAAAUAUUUUCCUGCAGGAUGACCCAAUAGACCAGAAACAAGCUAGGUUAACCAGUUCUGUCAUACUAUCAAAUUCGAAAGUGAACUAAUUUUCUCAUCAACUUGGCACUCUAACUGUCUAGAUUUCCUAAAAAACACUAAGAUCAGGAGAUAACUCCUUGGCAAAGUUGAGAUCAAUUCUUGAAGAACCACCGUGUUUUUCUGAUGAAAUGGAAUUGAAAUAGUCCUCCAACUGCUGUUUAUAGCUAAUUUCAAGAUUCAAGUUGUAAUUAAGUCAGUGAAUUGAACGAUUCAUACCUAUAACAAUGCCUAAAGUUAAUGAAGUCUCUAAUGCAUGUCUCAUAAAGAGAGUAGGAAAACCAAGUACAAUCUUACGCCAUAGCAAAAGUGAUAAUAUAUUUGGCUAAUCGCAUCACACAAAUGUGCUUCUUAACUUGUAUGAAAAACAAAGAUCUACAAAACAUUAUGGGACAAAGUUUGAACGGUGAUUUAAUACAAUUCAAAAAAUAUAUAUGAUUACAAUCUUAGCUUUGAAUGUAUCAUAGAUUCAUAGCUAUGAACAGCGUUAUAUGAUCCAAAUAAAAACUUUCCAAGACGGUGUGGACUAAACCAAAUAGGUCGGAAAAUUGGUGUCUCAAGGGUGGCUAAAUUGGUUCUGACUUUUGUGCCACCCUAGAUUAUGAACAAAUCUUGGCCGCCUGAAUUUCCAGUGCACUACCUUGUUAUUUGGGAUGGAGAAACCAAGCAAAUUAGGCAUCAUGGUUGGUCAGAUUUUUGAUGCAUAAAUCCAUUCAGUAGUCCAUUCUAUAAACUGGUGGUCCUGGACUAUGCUUCGAUUCAUUUAUAAUAGGAGCAUGCAAUCAUGCAUGUCCCUGUGAUUGACUUUGAAAGUUUUGGCGACUACACCGACCCGGAGUACACGUACAUUUCAGUCACCGUCAAGUGUUGCGAACGAUCUAAGCCAUGCCUUCAAAAGAUGCGAGUUAAAAGAAAACACUACCGGGAAAGUCCUGACACACAACAUCUCUAGUUUAUCUUUAACGGUAACUAAUUGUGUCUAAAAUAUUUAUGAUAACAUAAAUCUAAAAGGACUAGGAAGAACGUUUUAUGGGUAUCGGGAUUGAAACAGUGGGUAUCGGGAUUGCAACAGUCCUCGUCGUACUUGACAGAAACGAAAAUAAAGAACACAACAAUUUGUUUACUCAAUAAAACCUCAAUUUGAGGAAAAACACUGCUGGGGCUUUAACUCUUAAAAGCCUCUAUUGAAAAGAAAAUACACUAUGAAUCAAGAACGAGUCAAUUACAAACUUUCUAGCACUAACUGCGGCUAUUAUCUCUAGAACCCCAGUAGAUAUGGUUGAAACACUCUUCUUCUUCAAAUAAUCUCUUCUUCAAUCUCCAAGGAACUAACCACAUCCUUGAUCCUUUAAUCACAUAAACAAGUUCAACUCAACACGAAACAGUUGAACUUGUGACCUUACAAAGUAUUGCAGCGGAAAUACUAUCUCUCAAAUGCUAUGCGUGCAAAGAUAGUUCUCUAAGAAUAAUUGUGCAAAAUGUAUUCUUCCAAUAGCUGUUGCAUCUUCUUUUAUAGAUGAAGAACUUCUACUCUUUAUUCACGUCUUUAAUCAGAUUGGUUUCCAAUAGAUAAGUCCUUCUCCUAUUACUAUACAAAGACAACAAUAAUAUCAGAUAUAAAAUAUAUCCCAAAUCAAAUAAUAAUAAUCAGAGUAUAUAUAACCUAAUCACAUUAGGUUUUCUUCCUUUUCAAGUGCACGAAUCUCAUGAUUUAAUGAAUCAACAUCCUAACCAAAUUAGGAUCCUUAUCUAUGAACGUAAUAGCUUCUUUCCCUGUGUAUAUCAUAUCCAAUUAAACAUAGAUAUAUAUAUAUAUAUAUAUACAUAGAGGAUGUAGAGCGGACGUCCGCACUCGGCUUAAAGUGCGGACGUCCAUCCGUUCUCCACCCUCCGGCGCCGGCGAUGGCGCGCCUCCACCCCAGAAGACUCCAGCAGCGUCCCCGACCACUUCUCCUCCCCGGCGAGUUCCGUUUUUUUCCAGUUUCCGGCGAGAUCGACUUUGUUUGAAGUUUUGGAUGAUCUCGCCAGAAAACCGGAAAAGAAUGGACUUGCCGGGGAGAGAAAGUGGUCGGGGACGCUGCUGGAGUCUUCUGGGGUAGAGGCGUGCCGGCGCCGGAGGGUGAAGAACGGACGGACGUCCGCACUUUAAGGCCGGUGCGGACGUCCGCUCCACAUCCGGCCUAUAUAUAUAUAUAUAUCCAUAUAUGUCAUAGUGAAAAUAGCCUUGCUUUUUUUGAACUCAAAGACAAUUUUGUUAUUAGUACUAAAGUAUAGGGUACAAUACGAAUCGAUUCGUUGCUGGAAACAAUAGUUCCUUGAUGUAAAUGAUCCAAAAUAGUAAAUUACCAUAGCACCUAGUAAAGUAGCAGCAGCAUUUGAACUUGUAGCAGCUCACCUCUGGGAGGUAAAUUUGUAGCUUGCAAAUGUGUAAUGUGUCGACUUCAGGAGAAGACUUUGGCUUUAGGAUUGAGCAAGGAAACAACGUUGUGCUUGCAUUUCCUUAAGGUGACACACUUAAACCGGCUAUGCUUACGUCCCUAAGUGGUUCCUAAUAACCCCAAUGAUCUGCUGCAAUAAUAUAUCUCUUUAUUCACACAAAGCCAUGUCCAACCCUCAUGUUAAUACAAGGUGCCGGAUAUGAAGCUUUAAUUGGUAUAUGGUGAAUUGAUGAUGGCUUCAAGGAUGAUGACUUGCUCACAUCGCGGAUGCAGAAACUUAACCUUCUUGAGGAAGAUAUGGAUCACAAUAGUAUAGAGUUCUGUGAGUUGAGCAAAUCCGAGAGAAAGGAUAUGAUUUCUAUGUUGAUCAUCAGACACAGGAGGAGGAGGAGGAGGAGGAGGCUUGUAAACCAAGUUUUCGAAGAAGUCAUUGUAUUGAGAGAGGUCUCCAAACUCUGAUGUCUUAACCACAGUGGUUCCCUUGGCAAGAAAAGAACCUCAGAGAAUAUGUGAGUUUCAUACUUUCAUUAUUAAUUUUAUAUUCUCAUAAUAUUUUAUUUUUGAUGAACAAGAAUUACCAAGCAUGUUAAUUAAGAGAAGAUUGAUUCAUGUUGUAGCAUUCUCCAGAAUGGUUGAAGUUAAGGAACCAUGAGAAUGUCCAUAAAGAUCACAAUGAUUCUUGUUGCGGAAGUACUAGACUUGAACACCAUACUUUAUAUCUCCUAACAUAACUAGCUAGCAUAUUUGACUUGAACACUUAACCGCAUGAUCCUCACCAAGGACAAGAUAAAGAGAAGGUUAACUAUCUCGAUGUCCUAAAGAACACUAAGAUCAGAAUGACUAUUUUCCUUAGCAAAGUUAGAAGAGCUACCAGUCUCUCUGAUACAGCCUCCAGGGAGAAGGAACCUAAAUUUGUCCGCAUUCUUUAUCAGAUAAGCUGGAAGGUUAAUAGCAGAAGCUGAUUUGGGAAUCGAUCCCAUCUUGCUGAUCACUUCCUUGAAUGUGUACCCUUCAGGCAACAUAUCGAAAAGAUCAUCUCCUUGACAAAUGAGCUUCUGUAUUCUUCCGUAAUCCAGAAAAUCUCUCCGCCACACACGGUCUGCGUGGCUAUAAGCACUCAUCUUGAACACAAACUCCUCAAUGUGCCGAAAGCAAAAACUACAAUGCCAUCCUGCAUCAGAGAGCAG